rnacentral:rRNA from 1 species
GACGAACGCUGGCGGCGUGCCUAACACAUGCAAGUCGAACGGGAUCCAUGAGAGCUUGCUCUCGGAAGAUCUAGUGGCGAACGGGUGAGUAACACGUGAGAAACCUGCCCUGGAGUGGGGAAUAACUCGGGGAAACCCGAGCUAAUACCGCAUACCCUUGGAUGAUCGCAUGGUCGACCAAGGAAAGAUUUAUCGCUCUAGGAGGGUCUCGCGGCCUAUCAGCUAGUUGGUGGGGUAAUGGCCUACCAAGGCAACGACGGGUAGCUGGUUUGAGAGAACGAUCAGCCACACUGGGACUGAGACACGGCCCAGACUCCUACGGGAGGCAGCAGUGGGGAAUCUUGCGCAAUGGGCGAAAGCCUGACGCAGCAACGCCGCGUGCGGGAUGACGGCCUUCGUGGUUGUAAACCGCUUUCAGCAGGGCGAAAAUGACGGUACCUGCAGAAGAAGACCCGGCUAACUACGUGCCAGCAGCCGCGGUAA